rnacentral:misc_RNA from 1 species
GAGAACCAAGAGAUCCGUUGUUGAAAGUUUUAUUUUGUUUAUAUAAAACGGUUACAUUCAUUAAACUAGGGGUUUGUAUAAAAUGAUUGGCUUUCGAUUGCUCAAAAGCCAAAACUGUGCACAGGUGUAUGUGGAUUGUGAAGGGUUGGGGAGGUCAGUUAAGACGCUCCCCGAUGUAUUCACUAGUGAUCCUU